AGCUCUGUAAGCGUAUAUCAAAGUUGUUGCAGUUAAAACGCUCGUAGUCGAAUCUUGGCUGAACUUACGCGGAGUCCGCAAGGAUUCUGCGGUUGAGGAAAGCCUUUGUGGAUUGUGUGCGCGGAGGUGUUUUAUUACACUUCCGUUGUACUGCCACCGUUUACUGUGAAAAAAUUAGAGUGUUCAAAGCAAGCGAUUUGCCCUGAAUACAUUAGCAUGGAAUAAUAGAAUAGGACCUGGUCUUAUUUUGUUGGUUUGUAUAAUUUCAGGUAAUGAUUAACAGGGACGGUUGGGGGCAUUUGUAUUCCGAGGCGAGAGGUGAAAUUCUUAGACCCUCGGAAGACAAACAGCUGCGAAAGCGUUUGCCAAGGACGUUUUCAUUGAUCAAGAACGAAAAGUA
rnacentral:rRNA from 1 species